AUGUCGCGCGAGGCCGCCGUGCCGGUGAAGAAGCUUGCCAGUCACGCCGGUGUCGGAGUAGAGGCGCACGGGGGUCGACGGUGGCGGUGGACGACGCAAACCGAUCAAGCAAAGAUCGGAAGACCAAAAAGAAAAUGCCGAUCAAAGCGACUGACGAGAGAGAGAGAGAAAACCCAGAUCAAAGGAUCGGGAAAAAGACUCUCUAGGGCAGCCGGUCAACAUGACCGGCGGACGAACCCUAGGUACGGGUGGCGCGGCCCCUGGCGGUGGUCAUGGAGGCCGACCGCCCCGGGGGCGGCGCGCGGGCGGAAGCCUCGGGCGGCGGCUAGGGUUUGGGUCGGUUAG
rnacentral:rRNA from 1 species